GCAGCAGCCGCGGGAAUACGUAGGUGGCAAGCGUUGUCCGGAAUUAUUGGGCGUAAAGGGCUCGCAGGCGGUUUCUUAAGUCUGAUGUGAAAGCCCCCGGCUCAACCGGGGAGGGUCAUUGGAAACUGGGAAACUUGAGUGCAGAAGAGGAGAGUGGAAUUCCACGUGUAGCGGUGAAAUGCGUAGAGAUGUGGAGGAACGCCAGUGGCGAAGGCGACUCUCUGGUCUGUAACUGACGCUGAGGAGCGAAAGCGUGGGGAGCGAACAGGAUUAGAUACCCGCGUAGUCCCUGUCUCUUAUAC
rnacentral:rRNA from 1 species